rnacentral:rRNA from 1 species
UACGUAGGGGGCAAGCGUUGUCCGGAAUCAUUGGGCGUAAAGCGCGUGUAGGCGGCUCGGUAAGUCUGCUGUGAAAGUCCAGGGCUCAACCCUGGGAUGCCGGUGGAUACUGUCGAGCUCGAGUCCGGAAGAGGCGAGUGGAAUUCCUGGUGUAGCGGUGAAAUGCGCAGAUAUCAGGAGGAACACCUAUGGCGAAGGCAGCUCGCUGGGACGGUACUGACGCUGAGACGCGAAAGCGUGGGGAGCAAACAGG